ensembl:lncRNA
ACGCAGAUAGAACACUGACAGAACAUGAAGGACAGUCUGAAACAGUCCGUUACCUUCGUGGGCAGCAGCGUGUGAGGCCCAGAGCUGAGCCAUCUGAUUGGGUGAUCUGUAGGCUGGGUCAGAGGUUAGGGGGGAGGGGCCGGAAUAGCCCGGCAGGAAGGGACUGGAGGCUGCUGGGAAGGCAUCACCUGGAGGGAUGAGAUACGGAGACAUUGCAGCUUUAUUGAGACGAGACACACAGACACAUACAGUAGUCAAUACAGACUGACAUCAUACUAGAGGUCGACAGAUUAUGACAUCAUCACACCCAUCCAGAAUACAUCCCAGAGGCCUGGAGGAACAAGAUCAAAACACUAAAAAGGACAAAAACAGGAGAAAAAAAGCCCCGUGGCCCUGAGCCUACUCUCCGAGGGUAAAGGCCCCGCGGCCCUGAGCCCACUCUCCGAGGGUAAAGGCCCCGAGCCCACUCUCCGAGGGUAAAGGCCCC